GACCGGUUCAGCUGUUCUGGAACUAAUGGCGCUGACGGAUUCUGAGUUUGACGCACGGAUUUUGAGAAAAUCCAAAAAUACGUGUUUUAUAUGUAUUUUGUGUGUAGUUUCUUCUGUUGGAGAGAAGGUCGGAUUUCGUCGUGAAUCCGCGACCGUUUGAGGUGAAAUGAAAUCGUAGAUCUAUUGUCUACGAGGUGCUGAUCGCACUGGUGCAAUCCGUUCGCAAAUCUGACGGACGGAUCUGCGGAGAUUGCGCGUUGAUCGAGGAGAGGUCGGUAUUGGCAAAUUGUAAUUUCGCAAAAGAUGCGACAUUU
rnacentral:lncRNA from 1 species